CCUACGGGCGGCAGCAGUGGGGAAUAUUGGGCAAUGGGCGCAAGCCUGACCCAGCAAUGCCGCGUGAGGGAAGACUGCCCUAUGGGUUGUAAACCUCUUUUGUCAGGGAGCAACGCCGGCUACGUGUAGCCGGACUGAGAGUACCUGAAGAAAAAGCAUCGGCUAACUCCGUGCCAGCAGCCGCGGUAAUACGGAGGAUGCGAGCGUUAUCCGGAUUUAUUGGGUUUAAAGGGUGCGUAGGCGGGUUAUCAAGUCAGCGGUAAAAUCGUGGAGCUCAACUCCAUCCAGCCGUUGAAACUGAUGAUCUUGAGUGGGCGAGAAGUAUGCGGAAUGCGUGGUGUAGCGGUGAAAUGCAUAGAUAUCACGCAGAACUCCGAUUGCGAAGGCAGCAUAUCGGCGCCCGACUGACGCUGAAGCACGAAAGCGUGGGUAUCGAACAGGAUUAGAUACCCGUGUAGUC
rnacentral:rRNA from 1 species